rnacentral:rRNA from 1 species
UACGGAGGGUGCAAACGUUGCUCGGAAUCAUUGGGCGUAAAGCGCACGUAGGCGGCCUGUUAAGUCGGGUGUGAAAGCCCUGGGCUCAACCCAGGAAGUGCACUCGAAACUGGCAGGCUUGAAUAUGGAAGAGGGUCGCGGAAUUCCCGGUGUAGAGGUGAAAUUCGUAGAUAUCGGGAGGAACACCGGUGGCGAAGGCGGCGACCUGGGUCGAGACUGACGCUGAGGCGCGAAAGCCAGGGGAGCGAACGGG